rnacentral:lncRNA from 1 species
UUUAUUCUUCCUUGCAUUCCUCUCAGCUGGUCUCUUUUGCGUAGCCAAGAAGAAGAAGAAGCCUAUUAUGGUUCCUGCGGCUGCUUGUGAGGAACCUGACGAACCACAAAGACCUCACGGCGGAGAAGCUGCGGCGGCCCAUGCUCAUGGUCAUGGAGGCGGAAAGAUAAGUGGAGGAAUGCAUCCUCAUCCUCAUUCUUCAGGCUACAAUCAUUAGCAUGCCAAAAAAUCUGCAUUCGUAUUUCCGAGUUAUUGAUUGACACCUUUGGUACAAUAGAUUGAAACGACACAAACGUUAAAAAAAAAAAUUAAGAUUUCAUUUAACUAUCAACUGUGAUUUGUGUUUUUGUUGGGCUGUGUUUUAGAUAUCGAACCCUAAUUUCUUCUUCGUUUUCUUGAUUUUAUUUAUUUAUAUAGGAUGUUUAAUAAAGGAUUGGAGAGUAACAAAUGUCAAGCCAUAUAUUGUUUCAUUUUGGUCUCUAUGCAAGAUAUUUUUGUGUGCAUCUACAUUCGUUAUCAAAUAAAAAACCAUUGUCGCCUUUUAGAAAUCGAAUCCUAAUAUCUUCUUGGUUCAAAAACCCUUUUUCAUUAUUAAAUUAUCUUAAUUUAAAAGUUGUAUCCAUCCAAAUGUCCAUACGUUCAUACGGUGAUAAGCUGCAGGACAAAAACAUAGUAACUAAAUGCCAGCAUAAAAACGAAAUAAACGAGAAGAAACUUUUGAAAAAAGGAGUGGGUAAGGUAAAGAAGAAUAAAGUCACUCAUUUAAUGUAUUUGCACAACUUGAUUGACAACAAAGUGUGUUGAAAAAAUUUCAGUCAUUGAUUUUAAAAAUAAAUUUUUAAAUAGAUAGAUGUGAUAUUUGCCAACUCAUACAUUAAUAUUGUAAAUCAAAUUAUAAAAUAUAUUGUACAAGUAACAUGAUUGAGUAAAGGAUCAUGUGGAUGAAUUAUUUUAAAGUUUUCUAAGAUAUGUCCAAAUGCUGUCACGACAUAUACAAAAUAAAGCGAAGUAAGUCACUGUACGUGUCAUGUGCAUAUUCUUAGUACUAUAAUCGUGGACUUAGCCCCCGUUUGUUUCUCAUUUUUGAAAGAAUGAGAAUGAAAAAUAUAGUCGUUAUGGGCUCCACAUAAAAGAUAGAAAUUCAAAUUUAGUGGCUUAAUGUGAUGGAAAACGAUCAUAUUUUUCAUUUCAAUGGGAAAAGAAUGAGAAACAAACAGGGGCUUACUUUUGUCACUUUGUACGGAAAUCAUUUUGGACAGUAGCUACCCAUUGAGUAGUUAAGCUUUGUUUGAUUUUACUUUAUUGAAAAUUAUUUCUCUUUCACACUUAUUUUCAAUUACAUAUUUUAUGUUUUUUUAUAACUUUUUUAUUUUUAAUCAUACAUUUGCAAAAAAAUAAAGAAGUACUUCUCGAAAAAACAUUGUAAAAAAGCGCUAAAAAUUAAAAUUGAACUUUACAGUAAGUCACUGUUAAUAUGGCUCAAUAGGAUUAUCCUUGAUCUCAACCUUGCUCAAUAUCAUCACGAGCAAUUACUUCAUGUACAAAAUGAUACUUUACGUCAAUGUGCUUAGUCUUUUCAUGGAACAUCUGAUUCUUAGUAAAAAAAAUAACAAUCUAAUUAUUACAAUAUACUAUAGAAAUUCGCAAAUCUUUAUUGUUUUCACGUAUUAAUCAACUUAGCCACAUCGCCUUCUUACAUGCUUCUGUAAAGGUCAUGUACUCUACCUCUGUUGUAGACAAGAUUGCUGUAUUUUGCAAAAGUAGCUUUCUAGCUUAUAGAGCACAACCUUCAAGGGCAAAAACGUACCCUAUAAGUGAUUUCCUCUUAUUAAGAUCCCCUGCAUAAUUUGAAUUCGCAUGCCAAUUGACUCCAUUUGUAUUUAUAGCAAAAUGCAAGCAAGCAUUAAUUGAUUCCUUCAAUUAUCUAAAUAUUCAUUCCACUGCUUUCCAAUGUUUAUUGUCAAGAUUUGUCAUGUACCUAUGUUCAUUGUCAGGAUUUGUCAUCUACCUACUAACUACAUGUGCCAAAUCUAGUUUUGUACAAAUCAUAAUAUACAUAAGCACUUAUUUAUUUUAUUGUAUUAAAAUAUUUUCACAACUCAACGUGCUGGAUAAACAAAUAUUGUUUCAGUCUACCCCUAAUGGACAAAUAUCCUAUUUUUCUUUUGUACUUUUUUUUAUUAUUAUUGUAAUUUAAAAAUAUUAAUCAACAUAUAAGACAUCGCAACUAGUCCUAAAAAAAUUACUUCUUUUUACAAAUAGAAUUUUAAUACUCACGAAUAUGCAUGUUUUGGAAGUUUAGAAAAUUUAUGCUAACAAUUCGUUUAAAACUCAAAUAAGAAACCGAAUUUCAAUUUUAGAAUCCUGAAAUGGGUUAAAUUCUGCAAACCUUGAAUAUGGAAAAUAACAACUAACGAGGAUUUUGUUUAUUUUCUUAACAACGUUGAUAUUUUAAGAUAAAAUUACAGAUUAAGCAUCGUUUGAUGGGGACUAAAAUCAUAUUUUCAGUAGAUUUUGAUUUGAUAAAAAUCAAUGAAAUGUGUGGGGUUAAAUAGUUAUGAAUCUUAUAAAAUGUGUGAUUGAAAUUAGUCGUUGACUCUGAUUUAAUUGAAAUUUGAAUUUUAACUUCCACCAAACAUGGAACUAAUCACAACGUUGUAAUUCACUCUUUAAUUCAACUUUGGAAUUCGUUCUUAAAGUGAAACAUUUUUCACGUGUUAUGUUUUAUAUACUGAUCCAUAAAAGAUUGAGAAUUUUCAUUAUAUCCGUGCAGAAAUAAUUAUGAAAUAUGGUGGUAGGUGGAGUUUCAAGUAAAUCAUUAGCGGGAGGGCUGUCCUUGCAAUUGUGAACUGAUUUAAAGCAUGUUUAGUACAACUUAAAAUUCAAUUAAAAUUAAUUUUUUGAUCGUUAUUUUAUUAUUUUAAUCGUCAUUUUUGAAUUAUUCUCUCACAAGUAGGACUCAUUUUAUCUCUAACGGUCAAAAAAUCAAUUAACAAAAUUCCUAGCAAACAAGCACUUAAUUAUCUAUAACAAAAGUUCUACAAACUGCAUUAUUUUAUCUGGAAAAGUAAUUAAUAUCAGAGAAUAUUUUUAUUACUAAUCAUAUUGUAGACUCUGUUGGGAGGCCAACGAUAAAUGCAGUUGUCCGGAUCUAGUUUGUUACUAAAAUGAAAAAAAAAAUAAAAAAAAUUAUGUUGAUGACCAAAAAAAUGACGUCAACUUCAAAGAUAUUUGGAUUGAAUAAAAAUGUUGUAAAGUCAGAAUUUUGAUAAUUAUACAAAAGAGAAUUUCAGAUCGGAUGCCAUUCUCAUGCACACCAUUUGUCCCGUUGUAUAGGUUGAUGGACUUAAUAUUGCCACCUGACCUUUUCAAGGUAAAAUGUUUCGACUAGGGCUACGUGCCAUUGCCUUUGAAGGAAUUUAAUUGGUUGUUAAGUUCCGCUACGACAGAGUCAUAUGAUACUAAACUUGUGUCCUAGGAUAACACGUCAUCUUCUUUGGUUUGUAAGGUAUGCUGUUAAGAAAAACGCUUCUUUUGUCAUGUCACGAUGAUAUUUUCAUAUUAUUUAGCCCUUGUUUGACAAUUAUCAUUUUCAAACUCUUUUUUUUUUUCAACAUAUACAUUUUCAAUUACAUAUUCACAAAAUAAAAUAUUUUACAUGUAGAAACCCAAAAUUUUUCUUAGUUUUUGAUCACACAUUCUCUAAAAAAUCACUAUUCAAAUCCUACGUUUCCAAAUAAUAAUUUUCAAACAAGGGCUUAAUCUUGCAAUUAGAAUACUCUUCUUUCCAUAAUUUCUUCCUCAUAUAGAUAUGUAUAAGAUCUAUGGGACAAUUACUACAUCUUGUGCUAUAGUCAUUCCUAUCUGAUAGAAAGGGUCGACGUUAUUGAUUUCGGAUAUGAAGAGUAAUAUACAUAGAUAGAAGCAAAUGUUACGAAAGUGGGAAAAAAAUCCCUACCUAACCCAAUCUACUCCUUCACCUCGAUAGUGGAGUUAAUAACUAUGAAAUUUGGUGGUUGAUGGAGUUUUGAGAAAACCACUAAGCGGAGGAUUGUCCUUGCUAUUGUGACCCGAUUUAUUUAUCUGUAACAAAAAUCGAAAUUUCUUAUAAAUCGAUUUAUUUUUAUCUUGAAAAGGAAUUAAUAUCUUAUUAUAUAUUUAGAGAAUAUUUUUACUAAUAUUCAUAUUGUAAACACCUUUAUUCAAUUUCGUACCAUCCAGCAAUUUUACUUAGGUCCACAAAAGUACAUGUAAACUUUCAAGGUAUAAAACUUCAAGAGAUUUUUAGAUUAUUUAUUUUCCUUUCUUUUCUUCUCAAUCACACAUUUUUCAAUAAAAUAGUAUUACAUUUAAAUUAUUUUUAAAAAAAUUAUUUUUUAAUCACACAUUAUUUCAAAAAUAAUAUUGCCAAAAUUAUAAUCUACGAUAACUCAAAAACGUGAAAAUGUUCUAUGAGCAUGCUAUAGUGGACCAAACAAAUAAUUGUUUGAACCUUUUUACUUUUAUGUUGGAAAAGAGCUGUCAAAAACGAAACUCUAUGCAAAUCGAAUAUAUUUAGGCCAUGUUUGGGAGCGAUUUUUUGAUCAAAAAAAUUGAUUUUUUGACCGUUAUUUUACUAUUUCAAUCGUCAUAUUUGACGUCUUCUCUCACAAGUGGACCCCAUUUUUCUUCUAACGAUUAAAAAAUCAAUUCUCAAAAUCACUCCCAAACAGGCUAUUAAAAUAUAUUGGGAAUACAACCCAUGUUUUUUGUAAUCAAUAUUAGUGUAAAAUAAAAAAAUUAAUAAUGUAAAUUAUAUCCCACGGUGAAAAAAAGAAUUGAAUUUACACAACUACUAAUUUUUAAUUUCAUUAAACUUUACAGAUGAAUUGUGUAUAUAUAUAUAUAUAUAUAGCUAAUGUCUCUGCAAGUGCAUAAUCCAAAGGGUCUGGGCUCUCAAAACUAGUUAUCAAUGCCUUCUCUCAAAAGCGUAGCUAAGGUAGCUUACCCUUACUAUUCUCCUCCACCACCAUCACCCCCUCUGCCAUGUAAUCCUACUCCACCGCCUCCAUGCACUCCUCCUCCUCCGCCACCACCUCCUCCUGUUGCUCCAUAUACACCCCCUUGUCAUGGCCAACAUUGUGGACAUCAUCAUCAUCCACCUAGUGCUUCACCACCAACACUACCUCCAUUCAGCCCUCCUCCUCCUCCGCCGCCGCCGCCGCCGCCGCCUUCUCCUUCUGUCACUCCAUAUUCACCCCCUUGUCAUGGCCAGCAUUGUGGACAUCAUCAUCAUCCACCUAAUGCUUCACCCCCAACAACGCCUCCAUGCAGCUCUCCUCCUCCGCCGCCGCCGCCUCCACCACCUCCUCCUGUUGCUUCAUAUUCACCCCCUUGUCAUGGCCAACAUUGUGGACAUCAUCAUCAUCCACCUAGUGCUACACCCCCAACACCGCCUCUAUUCAGCCCUCCUCCUCCUCCUCCUCCGCCGCCGCCGCCUCCACCACCUCCUCCUGUUGCUUCAUAUUCACCCCCUUGUCAUGGCCAACAUUGUGGACAUCAUCAUCAUCCACCUAGUGCUACACCCCCAACACCGCCUCUAUUCAGCCCUCCUCCUCCUCCGCCGCCGCCGCCGCCACCUCCACCUUCUUCUCCUGUUGCUCCUUAUUCACCUCCUUGUUAUGGCCACCAUUGUGGACAUCAUCAUCAUCCACCUAGUGCUUCACCCCCAACACAGCCUCCAGGCAGCUCUUCUCCUCCGCCGCCGCCACCUUCACCUCUUUCAUCCGCAAGCCCACCACCACCUCCUCCUGUUGCUCCACAUUCACCUCCUUGUCAUGGCCACCAUUUUGGACAUCAUCACCAUCCACCUAGUGCUUCACCCCCAACACAGCCUCCAAGCAGCUCUUCUCCUCCGCCGCCGCCACCUUCACCUCUUUCACCCGCAAGCCCACCACCACCUCCUCCUGUUGCUCCAUAUUCACCUCCUUGUCAUGGCCACCAUUGUGGACAUCCUCAUCAUCCACCUCCUACAUCCCCAACACCAACUCCGACACCCGCAUCGCCGCCUUAUCCACCGAAAACACCAUCCAAUGGCCCGGUUGUUCCGCCACCUAAACACUCAAAACCACCAAGAAACUCACCAAGUCCUGGUGGCCCAAUUGUUCCACCGCCUAAACAUUCAAAACCACCAAAAGGCUCAACAUCUCCUGGUGGCCCAGUUGUUCCGCCGCCUAAACAUUCAAAACCACCAUAUCCCUCACCAACUCCCGGCGGCCCAAUUCCACCAAAAACUCCUGCACCAACACCUGGUAAACCACAAACCCCAGCUUACCCACCAUAUUAUUCCCAUCCACCAAUUCCUACCAAGCCUGGUGGUCCAGUGUACCCACCAGGAGGUCCAGGAGUACCCUACACGCCGCCAAAUGGGGGGCCUAUAGCACCUUCACUAAACACCCCUUUUUCGCCGCCGUCAAACACUCUCGUUCCACCGCCUUCAGGUGGUGGCAACAACCACACAACCAUAAUUGCAGUGUGCGUUUCUCUUGGUGGUUUAUUCUUCCUUGCAUUCCUCGCAGUCGGUCUAUUUUGCUUAGCCAAGAAGAAGAAGAAGCCUAUUAUGGUUCCUGCGGCUGCAGCGGCUGCUUGUGAGGAACGUGAAGAUCCACAAAGACAUCACGGCGAAGAAGCUGCGGUGGCCCAUGCUCAUGGAGGUGGAGAGAUAAGUGGAGGAAUGCAUCCUUAUCGUCAUUCUUCAGGCUACAAUUAUUAGCAAGCCAAAAAAUCUGCACUCUUAUUUCCUUGUUAUUGUUGAGACCUUUGGUACGUU